rnacentral:misc_RNA from 1 species
UACAGCCUAAUGUUUAUACAUAUACUGUGAUGAUAAAAGGACUUUGUAAACAAGGAUUAAUAGAUGAAGCACACAAUGUCUUUAGAGAAAUGCAAGAGGGUGGAUGUUUACCAGAUGGAUGUUGUUAUAAUGUAAUCAUUCAAGGGUUUCUUAGGCACAAGGAUGUACCAAGGGCAAGAAAACUUAUUAAAGAAAUGGUUGGUAAGGGAUUCUCU